rnacentral:rRNA from 1 species
CCUACGGGUGGCAGCAGUGAGGAAUAUUGGUCAAUGGGCGCUAGCCUGAACCAGCCAAGUAGCGUGAAGGAUGACUGCCCUAUGGGUUGUAAACUUCUUUUAUAUGGGAAUAAAGUGCAGUAUGUAUACUGCUUUGCAUGUACCUUAUGAAUAAGGAUCGGCUAACUCCGUGCCAGCCGCCGCGGUAAUACGGAGGAUCCGUGCGUUAUCCGGAUUUAUUGGGUUUAAAGGGAGCGUAGGCGGGUUGUUAAGUCAGUUGUGAAAGUUUGCGGCUCAACCGUAAAAUUGCAGUUGAUACUGGCAGCCUUGAGUACAGUAGAGGUAGGCGGAAUUCGGGGUGUAGCGGUGAAAUGCUUAGAUAUCACGAAGAACUCCGAUUGCGAAGGCAGCCUGCUGGACUGUAACUGACGCUGAGGCUCGAAAGUGUGGGUAUCAAACAGGAUUAGAUACCCCAGUAGUC